rnacentral:lncRNA from 1 species
ACAAAGAAAAAUUAAACCCCACUUUAAGCUUAUGGACAAGAACGAGCCACCAGAGGAAUUCUUGAGGAACCGGCCAGAUGUCCAAAUUAUUUAGCUUCCAUGAUCACCUUCAAUCGGCCACCUCAACACAGAAACUUCUACAAAGCUCUGUUAUGCAUGAAUGAGUCGGUUUCGGUUUCAAAAUUUGUUUCCAUACAUUUCCUUCUUUUAAAUCACGAUAUCAUUCUCAUUAUAAAACUUUAGUCUAGUAAAUUAGUGAGUGGGAAGGAGAGAGAGAGAGAGAGAGAGAGAGAGAGAGAGAGAGAGAGAAAGCUAGAGAGAGAAACCACGCACCCAAAACAGAGCACCGGUUACGGGGGCAUGACAGAAAUGGAUUUUCAUCCUUCACGCCAAGGUAGGUUGAGUUUUCUUCUUCCCGAUUGUCUUCCUCAUUCCUUUAGAUGUUUAUGAUCACCUAUAUAUGUUACCCAAUCACCGAAUUACAGCAGCAAGCUUCGAAAGUUGAAAUUGUGCUGCUGCAUCGGAACAACACCCCUGUUCAGCUAGGUGUUUGUUCUUCGUUUAAAUUCCUUCCUAAUUUGUGCUUUCCUUUCCAAAAUCUUGUAGUUAGUUGUUAGAAUAAACUUGAAAAUUAAUCAAAACUCUCACCAUACACUAUUUUAAUUGUCG